rnacentral:piRNA from 1 species
UCAUGUAGAAAUCUCUUUGCCUGCGA